UGUCAAGAAAGCCUACAGUUGGGGUUC
rnacentral:sRNA from 1 species